GAGGCCACUGCCCUCACUGAGACAGCAACACAGGUGCACAUGGGAAGGAAAUAGCCAGAAAUCACUCACAAUGGCCACAUGGUUCUGAACGUUUCCAGUGGAUGGGCCUCCGCCUGAACAGUUUGGGGGCAGCACUAUGAUCCUGCCGUGAGGUCAAGUCUACUGCAGAGGCAUUUCUCCAAGUUUUUGCACUGCAUAAACUGUAUUGUGCUGUUUUUAUACCAGCAACGAAUAUUUAUUCAUACAGGAUGUUAGUUUAUUUUCAUUUUUUUCCUCUCCACCUUCACCCAGUACUUUCAAGCUCUUAGAAAAAUGAUUUGUUAUUUUUAUAUAUAUGUUACACUAUUUUUUUCUUGUCCAAAUCAGAGGUUCAGGCCACCAAUAAAAGCUGUCUCUCAGGGUUUGUGCCUCGAGAGACUCCAGAGCCAAAGCUCAUUUUCUAAGGUAUAAGAGAAAGUUGUCACAGAGGAUUUCACUGCUCCUCCCCACUGCCCCAAUUGCCUCCUACUUUCUGGUUGUAUCAGGGAUUCUGUUCACCUGAAGACUUUAAAGUUGUCAUUUUCACUCACUACUUCCUUUAACUGAACUAGGAUCCAUUAUUCCACCCAAAUACUUCAUAUGGAAAACUAAAAAUAUACUUUAGUGUGUGACAUUAUAGGAGAGGUGUCCCCUCCUCCAAAAGUUAGAAUGACGUAUGAUUAAAAUACAGAAACACAAUCUUUACAUGUUCUAAAAGAGAAGGAAGAGAAAAUACGCUUCUCAUAAAAGGAGCCCUUCUCUGGAUUUGAUGAUGAAGGACACACAUGUGACUGUCUUCUACAUGGAAGGAUUUAUUUUUUUGCCUUUCUUACUGUGAUAAAGUAUAUACAACAUAAAAUAAGCAUACAAUUCAGUGGCUUUAAUGGCAUUCACAGUGUUGUGCAACAAUCAAUGUCUAGUUAAUUUUGAUAAUUAUUUUCGUACUAUUCAGUGUUUUUUCUUUUUUCUUCUUUUUUUUGGUCUUUUUUUAAGGCCAAACCCACAGCAUAUUGAAAUUCCUAGGCUAAGGGUUGAGUUGAAGCUGCAGCCACCAGCCUACGCCACAGCCACAGCUACGCCAGAUCCAAGCCAUGUCUGCGAGCUACACCCCAGCUCAUGCAGUGUCAGGUGCGUAGCCCACUGGGUGAGGCCAAGGAUUGAACCUGCAUCCUUGUGGAUCCAAGACAGUAUCAUUAACCACAAAGGGCACCAUGAAGGGAACCCCCCAGUGUGUUAUUUUUACAGAGUCAUUUUUGGUAAGUUUUAUUUCUCUAGGAGUGGGUCUCUUUCCUGUGGAUCUUGAGCUUGAUUGGUAUAAUGUUAACCAUAACAUCUCAUACAUUUAAUCUCUGUAGCAUCUAUAAUUGUGUUCAUUUUGGCUUAUUAAUUUUCUUUGGGCCUUUUUUCUUUUUAAGAAUAAUCUUACAUGACUUUUGCCUAUUAAUUUUCAGAGUCAGUUUUUUUGCUUAACUGAUGAUCUUUGUCUUUUAAAAUUUCUAUUUAGUCAUGAUAUUCUUUUUUGCAACUUUUCAUUUCCUUUGAGAUUUUUUUCAAAAUACUUAAAUUGGAAACAAUAACAAUUAUUUUUGUAAUGUAAGUAGACCCAGUUUAGCUUUAACCUACAGGUUAGGUACUUAUCAAUAACCAUAGUGUUAUGUAUUUUCUAAUUUGUGAUUUAAUUUAUUGAUUACAUAUUUUAUCCAUGAGUUAUUCUUCAGUGUAAGGUUUUCUAAAUUUCAAAUACUAAUUCAUUUUUCUAUUAGCUCGAACCACGUGGAAUAUUCAACUUUUGUUUAACCUAUAAAAUGGCAGUUUUCUAUGGUUCAACAUAACAGUUUUCUUUUGUUAUUAAUAUAUAAGUUAAUUUCAUUUGGUCAGAGAACAUUAGAUUAUGGAUUUUGAACCAAAGCUAACCAUAUUCAUACCCAAAGUCCUGUUUCUAUACUUUUGUAUUCUCUUUGGGGAUUUUUAAAGUUGUAAGUAUAUAAAUAACCAGUCAUUUUCAAAUAAAAAUCCUGAGCCCUG